CAAGCGGUGGAGCAUGUGGUUCAAUUCGACGCAACGCGAAAAACCUUGCCUGGGCUCGAAAUGCAGGAAACUGGGGUGGAAACAUCCCUUCCCCUUAAAAGGCUGCUGCAUAGGUGCUGCAUGGCUGUCGUCAGCUCGUGUCGUGAGAUGUUGGGUUAAGUCCCGCAACGAGCGCAACCCUUAUCCCUAGUUGCCAUCGGGUCAAGCCGGGCACUCUAGUGAAACUGCCUCGGAUAACGAGGAGGAAGGUGGGGAUGACGUCAAGUCCUCAUGGCCUUUAUGUCCAGGGCUACACACGUGCUACAAUGGUCGGUACAAACCGUCACAAACCCGUGAGGGGGAGCUAAUCGGAAAAAGCCGGCCUCAGUUCGGAUUGGAGUCUGCAACUCGACUCCAUGAAGCUGGAAUCGCUAGUAAUCGCGGAUCAGAACGCCGCGAUGAAUACCUUCCCGGGCCUUGUACACACC
rnacentral:rRNA from 1 species